rnacentral:rRNA from 1 species
UGGGGAAUUGUUCGCAAUGGGCGCAAGCCUGACGACGCAACGCCGCGUGGAGGACGAAGAUCUUCGGGUCGUAAACUCCUUUCGAUCGGGAAGAACGCCUCUGGUGUGAAUAUCGCCAGAGGGUGACGGUACCGAGAGAAGAAGCACCGGCUAACUCUGUGCCAGCAGCCGCGGUAAUACAGAGGGUGCAAGCGUUAAUCGGAAUUACUGGGCGUAAAGCGCACGCAGGCGGCUGCAUAAGCCGGUCGUGAAAUCCCCGGGCUUAACCUGGGAAUUGCGAUCGGGACUGUGCGGCUAGAGUGUUGGAGAGGGCAGCGGAAUUCCAGGUGUAGCGGUGAAAUGCGUAGAUAUCUGGAGGAACAUCAGUGGCGAAGGCGGCUGCCUGGCCAAACACUGACGCUCAGGUGCGAAAGCGUGGGGAGCAAA